rnacentral:lncRNA from 1 species
UGUGUCUGUGUGUGCACGUGUCUCUAUGUGUGGGUGUGUGCGGUGUGAGUGUAUGUGUGUGAGCAGGACUGAACACAUGUGAGUGUGAGUGUGUGUGUGUGUGUGAGUGUGUAAGGCAGGUCUUUGGUCUGACCUCUGCUCACUGUUUAUGACACCCUCGCAGCUUGGAUGUUAGCAGUCAGGUUUCUUCUGUUACCGCCCAAGCUCAGAGACAUGGCUCUCACGAUGGUGUCUCACUGAAUAUGCUUCUGUCCUGGGUGGAACCCCCUCCCCGUCUCAGGGAAGACUCCUCCAGUGCACCCCAUCCUUGGUGAAGUGGUAAAUUUUAAGUCACGUGUAUUUUGCUCCAAGCAGAAGGAAACAUGUCGAGUUGCCCUUACUCUCCAAGCACAGCUAAAGCAUUCCUGCCCCUUUUCAACCGUUGCUAUGGAAAUUGACCCUUGUGUGAAACCUCGUGGGCAAUGUACCCCACACACAAAGUGCCGCAGAGGAGUGCUGGCCAACUCAGGCAGUCACAAGUUGCUCCUAGACGCCGCACCACUGGCCCUCCUGAACUGCAGGCCACGCAGGGGCACUCUGGAGACUCCACAGAAAGGAGGCCCUGGAGGCCCCCGAUGCCCUCGCUGCUGUCAGCAGCCCCCACCCCAGCAGUGCUGAGCGCCUGGCGUCCCUCCCACAUGGAGGGUUGUGCCUCCGGAGGUCGCAAGGACCUCAAGGACACACACCCUGGUCUCAGCAGACAGCUGGGCCACUGUGGUCCGCGGAGAAAAAUGGCGAAAUUCGAGAUUCAGCAGGAGGAGGCCAGAAGGAGACGGGAGCGUUGAUGAAGAGCACCCACGUGAGGACUCGGCAGCCCGCACCCGACCACUCGCCUGUUUCAUCUCCUGUCUUCAAAGAGGCGCCAGGACGUGGGAGAGGAUGAAAGGGAAAGUGAUGAAAGAAAAUGGCACCACAGAGGCUUGAAGGGCUGAGACGGCGGAGGGGAGGCUGGGAGCCGGCUGGUGGCAGCCUGCAAGUCAGCUGCUCCCGUCUCAGGGACCCCACGCUCUCCUCCGCGCUCUGGAAGACAUGGCUCUAAAGAAGGGGGUGUGGCCCUGAUCCGGGUCUUCCCAGUGCACAAGCAGCUCUAGAGUCCCCAUCUCUGCACCUGCUGGGAAUCAGGGGCAGACAGGAGCGUGCAGGGCCCAGCCUCCCUCCUCACUCCUGGGCACUCAGACAAAAAGGCCUGUGUGUGUCCAAAGGGACAGGUGAAGGCCCACGAGGGCCCCUGAGCUGUGGACAUGGUCCUGCACCAUCAUGGAGAUGCGGGUUUAGCUGUGACAGCUUGUGAAUGGGCUGGAGUUCCCCUUGGCCCAGACCAGGGAGUCCCAGAGGAAACCUAUGCAGCUGUUCCCUGAUCUCCCGCCUCCUGCGGAGUCUUGUUUGCUCCCUGCAGGACAUUUGCACACUCUUUUCACACUGAGGCCAGGGAAGGUCUAAAGUCACAAGAGCUGGUUCCCAGACCAGGCUUCUGGCUCCAAGUUCCAGAACCUUCCACAAGUACACACUGACUGUUCCUCAUCAGUUCAGUCCAUCUGUCCUGACACGGCAGUGAGUCCAGCUGGGGCUGAGGAGUGAAGACAGUUUAAGGUGACUCAGAGAAACUCACUCCUCAGUGAAGACCUGUCCAGACGACAAACGGCUUUGGAACAACUUAGACGUGGAGGUGUGGGUAUUCUCGGGGGCCUUUCUCCUGCAAGUCCCAGUGUGGUCUUCUACCAUUGUGUGGAAAUAUGACGAGUGGUCACCUUGCAUCCUGUGCUUUUGGGGUACACUUUUCAAGUUUCUGUGUUCAAACAUUUUGAAAAUCAGAAGUGAUCACGUGUCCUGAGUUUCAGUUUGAAAGCCACAGUGUGCAAUAGUCACUUCCCUCAGAUUUCUACUGUGGAAAACAAAGCACGUAACCCUCAAGGUCAGGGACAAAAGCAAAGGCCCCCACCCAGACCCUGACCACAGCUGAGGGCCACAUACCUCUCCCUCCUGCUCAGACAGCCCUGGCUCAAACGUCCUUGAGACACCUCCACAGGUUCAAGACUGAGCAGGGAAGUGGACCCCCAUAGGCCAGAGCAUGUAGAAGCCAAUGCUGAGCCAAGUGUCCCCAGACCUCGAGGCAGAGACUACAGCAGGUGCUAGUGCUGCAUCUUCAGGAAGCACCGGGGCCAGGGUGGCCAAACUAGAAGAUGGUAGAAGAGAGAAAUUCCUAGAGUGGGGCUGAGGGCCUUCCUCCAGGCAAACCCCUCCGUCCCCAGGGUGCAGCUGGCUCUGUUCUACAGGGCCAGUGACACUUAUGACAAGCCCCUGCUGCCACCUCCCUCAGGAGAAGCCACCGGCUGUCCAAGGCCAAGACAGCAUGGCACCCCUCCUGUCUCCCUGGGUUUCUGUGACUGCACAGCGGGCAUCCUGUACUGCUGAACCCCUGUGCUGGGGCAGGAGGCACUGCCAGGGUCCCAACAGGCCCUGUGCAUCACAAGACCUGGGCCCCAGGUUCUGCUCCCUCGGGUGUUGGCUGAGGGUCCUCCUGCUUCAGAUGCAGCCAUGUCUGGGUCCCCCUCAGUUGGGCUGCAGAAGGGGUGGACAGCAGGGCAGGGAGGGGGGAACAGUUUACCCCCUGAACAACUCCUGCACCUCCAGAUACUCAAAGAACAGCUUCUGAAUCAAGUUUAAAAACAGCUGCUCUUCUGAUGAUUUAAGUGAUGUCCUGAGUAUUUGCCUUGAGUGCACAGAGGGCCUGGGUGGGCUGGGACUUUGCCCAGGCAGGACCCUGGGAGACAAGGCUGCUGCACUCCCAGGAGGAGGUGUGCUUUGCCUCUCAUCUCAUGUGAGGAGAAUCCAGGAGGUUUGGCAAUGUUGGCAGUGUCUGUAAAUGUUUGCAACAUCAUGUGACAAGGCCAGUUCAGGUGUCUACAAACUGCUGUGGCCCGAGCCCCCUGUGAUUGCCAUGCAGAACCUCGUUAAUCCUGCCACAGGUUGAGAUGUGUCCUCUGUAAGCCAACCAGACAUACAACCUGGAGUUGUUUCUAUCAUCAGAAGAUCAUUUUAACUAUAAUCCAUCAGGAUACAUUUUGAAAACUGGCCUCUGAUGAAGGAUUGGAUGGUAAUGCAGUGCCUGCUUUGAUCUGGAUAAAAUUUAACUUGCCUUAAUAAUCUUUUUCAAUUCCCAUCAAUGUUUCUCUGAGAAUGUUCUGUCUACUGUGAGUGUUGUUGAAACAUAAAACAGAAUUCACUGAGGCUGACAUUUCCCCCUCUGCUCAACUGGGCCAAGAAGCAUCUCAUUUGUUGCAUUAAAAAUAUUAAAAAUGGUUUCAAUAUGCAUUUCCCUGAUUGCUAGACAUAUUGAACAUUUUUUAGUGUAUUUGUUGGCCAAUUAUAUUUCUUCUUUUCAGAAGUAUCUGUUUAGUUCUUU